rnacentral:rRNA from 1 species
CAGUAGCCGCGGUAAUACAGAGGGUGCGAGCGUUAUCCGGAUUUAUUGGGUUUAAAGGGUCCGUAGGCGGACUUAUAAGUCAGUGGUGAAAGCCUGUCGCUUAACGAUAGAACUGCCAUUGAUACUGUAAGUCUUGAGUAUAUUUGAGGUAGCUGGAAUAAGUAGUGUAGCGGUGAAAUGCAUAGAUAUUACUUAGAACACCAAUUGCGAAGGCAGGUUACCAAGAUAUAACUGACGCUGAGGGACGAAAGCGUGGGUAGCGAACAGGAUUAGAUACCCCAGUAGUCCCUGUCUCUUAUAC